AGUGAACGCUGGCGGUAGGCCUAACACAUGCAAGUCGAACGGCAGCACAGUAAGAGCUUGCUCUUACGGGUGGCGAGUGGCGGACGGGUGAGGAAUACAUCGGAAUCUACUUUUUCGUGGGGGAUAAUGUAGGGAAACUUACGCUAAUACCGCAUACGACCUACGGGUGAAAGCAGGGGAUCUUCGGACCUUGCGCGAUUGAAUGAGCCGAUGUCGGAUUAGCUAGUUGGCGGGGUAAAGGCCCAGCAAGGCGACGAUCCGUAGCUGGUCUGAGAGGAUGAUCAGCCACACUGGAACUGAGACACGGUCCAGACUCCUACGGGAGGCAGCAGUGGGGAAUAUUGGACAAUGGGCGCAAGCCUGAUCCAGCCAUACCGCGUGGGUGAAGAAGGCCUUCGGGUUGUAAAGCCCUUUUGUUGGGAAAGAAAAGCAGCAGGUUAAUACCCCGCUGUUCUGACGGUACCCAAAGAAUAAGCACCGGCUAACUUCGUG
rnacentral:rRNA from 1 species